UAACCUGCCUCUUAGCGGGGGAUAACUAUUGGAAACGAUAGCUAAUACCGCAUAAAAGUCGAUAUCGCAUGAUAUUGAUUUGAAAGGUGCAAUUGCAUCACUAAGAGAUGGACCUGCGUUGUAUUAGCUAGUUGGUGAGGUAACGGCUCACCAAGGCGACGAUACAUAGCCGACCUGAGAGGGUGAUCGGCCACACUGGGACUGAGACGCGGCCCAG
rnacentral:rRNA from 1 species